rnacentral:rRNA from 1 species
AUGGGAUGCAUUGGUUGUUGUCAUUUACAUCAAGAUUCUACACCUGAAUCUGUGAAGUUUAGAUCUGCACUUGACAAAACUGUUGGUGGUUUACUACCUUCCUCGGUGAAAGACCAGUUAUCUUUGCUAGCUAGGCGUUUUCGUCAAACUGCUGAUGAAAAGUCCAUCGAAGGAGCUCAAAAUAUGCUGCUAGAUUCGUUGAAUUGCAUUGUAUUAGCUAGUGAUUCAGAUGAUGAGCCAAAUCAAUCAUACACGAAUUCAAGAAGAAAUAUAAGCAGUAGCAUGGCAGGCAGUGAUAAAUCUAUGCUCAGGAGCCACGGUUUAGGUUCAGGUAGCAAAAGGAAAGCUGUUUCUCCAGUCAAUCGACAAGAUACUUUCUGUGUUAAUCCAAGGCCUCAUAAGAUGCAAAGGCCUGAUCAUGUAGAUAAAGUUCUAAUUGAGGAAGGAAGGAAGCUUGAUUUUAGUCAAGUUGAGAAGCAACUCGAGUCUGUUUCCGAACUUAUGAAAAAGCUUAUUCCACCAAAGUCCACCCCGAUCAGCGAAUCUAUUGACAAGGGAAAAAGCAUGAGUUUCAAGCAUCUUGUGAAUACAGAUCCUCCAGUUCGAACUAAUUCAAAAGCGACUUCUACACAGACCACUCUGAACAAGGUCAUGAGUGUUAAGAAGAAAUCUUUUUUACCUGAGAAGCUGAGGUUGAAAUCUCCAAUGAAUGGUGAAUGCUUUGACAACUCAUCUCAAAAAUUAUUUAACGAUCAAAUCAUGGCAUCAAGUCAAGGACAUUUUCAACUGGGUUAUGAGGGUUCCCAAUAUCAAACUCCUAUUCACAUACAAACAAUCCCUUUUACUCCCGUGUCCAGUCCUGUGACAAAUAGUUCAUUCACUCAGAAGUCUGAUGGCACACCAAGGCAGUGGGCACAUCAAAAUUCUGCAAUUUGCACUGAAUUGUUAGGUGAAACUUCUCAGCCUGCUGUUCCUGUCACCAAGAUUGAUUUAGAUUCUGGGGGACAGUCUAGCCCUGAGAAGUCUCCUGAUGUUGAGAUCUUAUAUGAAGUCAUGAAAGCUGACAGAUUGAACAACUUCAUACCUUCUUCUGAUAUGAUUUAUAAUGAGAAAAUCAACAGUCAGUCUGCUAGUAAAUCUGGAAGAGAGGUCAGUAGAUAUGGACCAAAGAGGAUUCUAAACCCUAGCAAAUACAAUGCUUCUCCUUAUGUCAAUCAGAAAUCAUUGAGAUACCUUGUUACCACGAGAGUGAUUCAAUUACAUGAUGCUAUUGUCACUCUGUCGCUUGAUGAAAAUUACAAAUACAAAACGUGCAUCGACUAUGGCAGAGUUACAGUGACAUACUUUUCUUUUGGGACUUCUUUUGCAACAAAGGGCCUUGUUGACACGUAUACUAUUAAUGCUUGGUGCCGCAAGUUGUCACUAGAUACCAAGCCAAAGGACUCGAAAGUUCAGCAUUUUCACCUUAUUUCUGAACAUCUACUUUUGAUGGACUCAUAUGAAACUCAGGAAUUGUAUGAUCAGAAGUCCAGUAUGGUUCAGAGAUGCUUCCAGCUAGCAAACGGUGCUAGACUAAUCCAUUCAUGUGAUGAGGCCCACUUUCCAACUUUGCAUACCAAGCAUUGGUUCGACUUUGUUGUCUUGUUCAAACAUGAAAUGUUUGUAAUUCUAGACUCAGCAUUUGAUGCAGACAGUGAUUUUCACGAGCAUGUGUUGAAUAUUCUGAUACCAAAUUUCAAAAGAGUUUGGAACAUGUAUGGGCCACGCACUUUAUUGAUGUACCUAAACAAAGCAAUGAGCUUGAUUGUGGCAUAUAUACAGCACUCUUUCUGA